rnacentral:rRNA from 1 species
AUUGAACGCUGGCGGCAUGCCUUACACAUGCAAGUCGAACGGUAACAGGCCUUUCGGGAUGCUGACGAGUGGCGAACGGGUGAGUAAUACAUCGGAACGUGCCUAGUAGUGGGGGAUAACUACUCGAAAGAGUGGCUAAUACCGCAUGAGAUCUAUGGAUGAAAGCAGGGGACCUUUGGGCCUUGUGCUACUAGAGCGGCCGAUGGCAGAUUAGGUAGUUGGUGGGAUAAAAGCUUACCAAGCCUACGAUCUGUAGCUGGUCUGAGAGGACGAUCAGCCACACUGGGACUGAGACACGGCCCAGACUCCUACGGGAGGCAGCAGUGGGGAAUUUUGGACAAUGGGCGCAAGCCUGAUCCAGCAAUGCCGCGUGCAGGAUGAAGGCCUUCGGGUUGUAAACUGCUUUUGUACGGAACGAAAAGUCUUGGGUUAAUACCCUGGGAUCAUGACGGUACCGUAAGAAUAAGCACCGGCUAACUACGUG